GACAAAAUUAGUUUGCUCUACCAAUCACACGACAUUUUCCCAAAGCCCGGUGCUUGACGCGAAGAUGCACCUCACCCCACCCCCGACCAAGAAAGCACUCACAAAUAUCGAUGCAUUGUAUUUCACGGUGUCCCGUCCACCCGAUCCUACAGUUUGCAGGGAUCAGAAAACAAAUCACUUACAGAGAGAGGGAGAAACUUGUGAACAUGUUGAAGCAGACUGGAGUGGCAGAGAUACUAACAGCAGAAUCAGCCUACAGUCCUCCACAGGGCUUGAGAUGUGGAGUGUCAUGGACUGCCUCAGGAGAACAGGAGUGAUUGUACAUUACGGCAAUUACAGACAAACCCUUCCAGACAGUUUGAAGACCAAAACUUUCUUUGUGUGGAGGUCCAAAGGCAAUUAUUGGCAUUACAGUUUAAGAGAAGCAUUCCAUCUCCCUGAUGCAACAGCGGUAGCUUUCUGUGGCAUGUUAAAUAAAGCAAUUUGCCCUGUAGGAGACUAAUGCAUGCAGAGUUGUGAUGAAAAAAGGAAAAAAAAAUUAUAGAGCUGCUCUGAAAGAAAUAGCAGCCUUCUCUGCAAAAAGAUACAAAUCUUAUUUUGUCACCAUUUUAACUGAAAGACGCGAAGCAUCUUCAACGUUUGCCUUUACCUCCUUGACAUUUCAUAUAUUGCUUCAAGACCGAGACUCUAUAAAGACACGGGCGUGCUAAUUACUGGUCAAGUAGUUGCAUUUAAACCAAAAAUAGUUGAUAGAAAUGGAAUACAACAGCACUUUCAUAACACAUGCCGGAAUAUAGAAGUCAGUUGAAGCCAAAGUUUUGUUCUCAUAGCAGUUUUCAUUUGCAGAGAAGUAAAUGACUAGACUUCAGGCUACAAGUUUAAAGACUUGACCUCAAAAGGCCUGACAGUCAUAUUUUCCUAUUUCAGGCUGUUUUAAAUGUUAGACUAAUAAUUAAAAACAAAAAUCCCUUCACAUAAGCUAUUGAAAAUAUUUAAGCAAUUAAUUAAUUUCCCUAACAUAACUGUAAAUUAUUUACCUAGCUCAGUAAGCCAUAUGAGUAACAAAGAGGAAUGAUCAAAUACACUUAGACUUGAGUAUCUCAGAAAAAAAUGGAAUAUUUCUUCAGCAAAUCCAGUGAACAUUUUUCCAGUACUUCUAGAUCCUCAGAUUAGAAGCACUAGGGACUUGAUCCUAAAACAUUAUUAACUGCUCACCCUAAUUGUAUUUACACCAGCUGAAAAUUAAUCUGUAAUAACAAUCAUAAGAAGAUGAAGAGGACACUAUUACUAAAACAAUAAACAUGUAGGAAGUAAUUGUCAGAUGAGAGUAAGAACAAAUGUGUCUUCAAGAUAAUAUAUGCGAUUAAAAUAUAUGUAUCAAAUAUUACAGCAGUUCAUUGGCAUCUAUAAAUGGAGUUGUAACAAAUUUUUUUUUCAGUGAAAUUUCUGCUCUAGAGAAUAGAGAAAUGUUUGAACAGAAAGGAGAGAAAUUACUCUAACAGCUGUAUUGUAGUAAUGAAACUUAAGAAUAGCUGAUUUCACCAGCCAUCACACAGACUGUUCUUUUGAACGGUGAACAUGAUGAGGUUUGCAAAACAGACUACACUAAUUUUUCAGGGAUGGAGCCAGCUUUACUGGGACAGGCCCGAAACAUGAGGAAAUUUCCCAUUUUUUAGAACAAAUUAAGCCACUUAACUUCCCCUAUCAUCAGAAUGAAUGCUAGUCUAAUGACUUGAUGGAAAAGCUGAACUGGGCAAACAGGAGUCUUAGAGGGGAAGGAAGGCUAGAAAACCUUGGCUACAGUCUGAUGCUUCCUUAAAGGAUCAAAUGGAAGGCAAAGAGCAGCCUUUGCAGAAGCCUUUAGCAUGCAAAAGCAUGGGCUUGUUUAUACUGUACUGAUGCUCUGACAGACACUUUUAUUUAAUGGAAAUUAGUAUAAGGAUGGUUAUUUAAAGCUGGGUGGUCAUUCAUUUGGGAUUUCCCGUGCCAUACAUGCUUUGGAAGGAAUCAGUUUGUAUCAUCAGUCCGAGCCUCACAUGAAGUUUCAUUAUACACAGUAUCAGCUGACUAGAAACCCCAUCACAACAGCUGCAAGGCCGGAUUAAACUGAUUAACAGUGAACACUGGUGAAGUACUGUCCCAUUAGUCCCUAAGAACAGCAUCAUGAAAAUCUUUCAUCAUCUAGUAUUGAGUGUUUUGUAUAUGGUCUGGGUUUAGAUAUAAUGAUGACUCUUCAGAAAGCAGAAGAGAGUAUUCAAAGAAAAUGUUUUUUUUCUGAAGUUGGGAGAAACAGCAUGUCUAUUGUUCAUCUUCUGACCACACAAAUACCUUAUGGCAAUUGUGUCUUUUAAAACUGUAGCUCUCUCUGACUCCUUACAUCUGAACAGCUCUGUAAUAACAAAUAACAAACAACAAAACCUCACAACAGAAUGUCAGCUUUCAUUUGGAGUUCAGAAGAAUUAAAACAUUGAACAAUAAAGUGAUAAAAUCAGUGAAA